rnacentral:lncRNA from 1 species
AAUGGCAUUUAAUCAAUGGUUCUAAUUCUGUUUACCUAUGCUCCAGGUAGAGUAUCUAUGGUUUUUUCCCCCUCUUCCUUUCUAGAUUUUGAGUUUUGAAUGAGUAUUUUGAAUGCUUAGCAGACAAUAAAUAUGUGAAGGAUUAGAGAGUGGAAACAAGUGAUUAGGUGAUGAAAUUGCACACUGUUGACAUACCAACAACAGGUUGGCUAACAGUUCCUUUUCACCUCUGUCUCACCCUGUGACAUACUAUUUAUUUGCACAGCCUUAGUCAUCCAUAGGAGCUCCUUCUAUCUAGUCCCCAGGGAAUAGAGUGCUCAUAUGAUUGGAUAUACUAAUUCACACACUUUAAGUAGGCUACUGAUCCAGUUCAGAUGACUUUAUCACUUCCUUUGGGAAUUCUGGAAUAAAUCCACAUUUGUUGGAAAGGGAAUUCUUCAUACUGAUAAAUCAAGGUUACUGUCAAGUUUACACAUACCACCUGAAAAUGUGACAAUUUAAUACGUAUAUGCUGAUUUAUUUUUAUAAAAAAGGAUCUACAUUCUAGAACUGGCUUUAUGUGUGUCUUACCUCAGGAUCUCAGGCAAUUUUAUUAAGGAUGGUGUACUAUGUCAGGAGUUGAACUAUGUUGGCUUUCUCCAUUGUAGGGAGAAGACAUCACUACAUUUAUAUUGGCUUCAAGCUGGUCCAGUUGAUUCCUGCAGCAUAUAGAGAUUCAAACAGAGAUUCUGGAAGAAAAUUUCUCUUCUAAAUCCCUGCAGUAAUCAACAAAUCAGCACUUCUGUCCUAAAAGGGAGAACACUCAGCGUUUUUAGGGCAGACAACCCUUUUCCAGUGGACGUAGAGCCCAGGGAAGAAUUCUGGACCUGUUGUUUCAUAAUUAAUUUUCAUGCAAGUUCUGUGUGUCCUAGAUGUCCCCUAAAGAUGCUCUGUGACUGUAUUCCCCAACCAGUUAGCAAAAUGCCUAGAAGUAGGCAUGUUGGCUCCAUGUUGAACACCUGGCAUCCAUUUAGACCCAGCUAGUAUCCAUUACCUAAUCAGCCUUAGGGCACCAGGGAAGCUGGGCUUGGAAGAAGAAAAGACAGUGCCAUGGAAUGUUGCCAAAACAGAGCAGGUAUGUGGGUCUUGGGAGGGGAAGGAGCUCUGUGCUCUAGGCAUUUUCUUUUCUUCU